rnacentral:rRNA from 1 species
CCUACGGGAGGCAGCAGUGGGGAAUAUUGCACAAUGGGGGAGACCCUGAUGCAGCGACGCCGCGUGAGUGAAGAAGUAAUUCGUUAUGUAAAGCUCUAUCAGCAGGGAAGAAAAUGACGGUACCUGAGUAAUAAGCCCCGUCUAACUACGUGCCAGCAGCCGCGGUAAUACGUAGGCGGCCAGCGUUAUCCGGAUUUACUGGGUGUAAAGGGAGCGUAGACGGGAGUGCAAGUCUGUAGUGAAAGGCUGGGGCUCAACCCCAGGAUUGCUCUGGAAACUGUACGGCUGGAGUGCAGGAGAGGUAAGUGGAAUUCGUAGUGUAGCGGUGAAAUGCGUAGAUAUUAGGAGGAACACC